AAGAACGCAGCGAAAUGCGAUAAGUAAUGUGAAUUGCAGAAUUCAGUGAAUCAUCGAAUCUUUGAACGCACAUUGCGCCCGCUAGUAUUCUGGCGGGCAUGCCUGUCCGAGCGUCAUUUCAACCCUCAAGCCCCCGGGCUUGGUGUUGGGGAUCGGC
rnacentral:rRNA from 2 species